rnacentral:lncRNA from 1 species
AGUGUGAGAAAUGUAUCCUCAAUAGCAGCCACAUUUGACACCCACAGGGCUGGCCCUGGAUCUGGCAGAACCUCUUCAGCCUGUGAGGCAGAAAGGUAGAGGGGAGCAGCCAGGAGCAUCGACCAUACAGAAACAUUGCCUUGCCUCUUGGCGCUACCCUCUUCAGGUCCAGGAGAAGCCUGGAGCCCAAGUGAUCAGGGCUGACCAGUAUCAGUGAUGGAUGCGAUCGGCGAUCUCCUCAGGACAUCUGUCAGUGUGCUGCCUCGGACUGAUCCCUUUACCAGCCUAGUGCUUCCUACCACAGGGGAGGAAGGGAGCCCGCCUUCAAGCUGAAGUGAGAUCACCUCAUCCAAGGAAGUCACAAAGGGCUGACAGUGCAGAUCAUCUCUGUGCACUCUGGAAGCAUCAGGAAGCCAUUAAAGAAGACGCAAAUGACGUCAAUACCUCAACGGUUUGCCAACGGUUUGCCCUAAACAAGGAGUUUAGAGAAAUGCUACAUUAUUUUUAAAGGCCUGGGAAUUCCAAGAGCCGUAGUACAGUAUUGUCAAACUGUGUGGUUUGCUUUAAACAAUUGUUGCAAUU